CUCAGGUGGAGACAGGAAAGCAACUGCGUAAGCUGACGCUGCAUUCAAAUACUUUCACGACGGAUUACAUCGAUCACGAUGAUAACUGAUAAGAAAGUAUCAAGUCGGUGAUAAUGGUAAUGGUUGCGGUAAUGGGACGAAUAACAUAACCUUACCUCUUAUCAGUGAGUACGUAGUGUAAACAUUGCGAGGACCUUGAAACUUUUGAACUUUCGACAGUGGCGCAGCAGGUGGCUUGCUUCGGAAGUUAUAGGAAAGUAAGUAAAUAAACAGGAAACAGGUUUAAACGUGUUUAAAUUUUCCGCGGGAGUGAUCGUAGUCUAAACUAAAGUUAUGUGUUUUUCUUUCAAGUUUUGCUCUUUUGAAAUGCGUGUGCGUGAUGUACUGGUCCGUGACUCCGUGAGUGUUACAAGUUUCUCGCAAAUUGCAAUAUUAUGUACGGUUUGGAUUUUUGGAAUCAAAAUUCGGAAACAGCCGAUCUCGUAAUGAGUUUGCUUCUCAGGUUGGUACAUACUUGUGCAUUUUAAGAAUUUUUAUCAAUAUUUGUUGAUCUACACCUCUGCUCUUCCUCAUUAGGUAAGUUAUUCCUACCAAAACAACAUAACUAUUGCCUCUCUCCUGUAUUUCCAUAAGUGGCGUGGGGUCCACGGGAGAAAUUCUUUUAGGAGAGCGAUUCCGAGGUUGGAAUUUGAGCUUCGAGGAGAGACCCCUUAUUGAUCCCAAAAAUAACCUCUGAGCAUUCUAGUACACCUUUCUGGCAGUGAGAGUGAACAAUUUGAUGUUGAUCCUACAUUUUCGAGCCUUGAUUUGGUGAACUAAUCUUUAAAAUGGCUUAUUCUCAAAACUAAAAUUUUUUAACCGCUAAAUUUAAAUCGUCUCUACUCUGAUUUAGUUUG
rnacentral:lncRNA from 1 species